AUACAGAGGGUGCGAGCGUUAAUCGGAAUUACUGGGCGUAAAGCGCGCGUAGGCGGCUUAUUAAGUCAGAUGUGAAAUCCCCGGGCUCAACCUGGGAACUGCAUCUGAUACUGGUAAGCUAGAGUUUGGGAGAGGGAAGUAGAAUUUCAGGUGAAGCGGUGAAAUGCAUAGAGAUCUGAAGGAAUACCAGUGGCGAAGGCGACUUCCUGGCCUAAAACUGACGCUGAGGUGCGAAAGCGUGGGUAGCAAACGGGAUUAGAAACCCUAGUAGUCC
rnacentral:rRNA from 1 species